AGCGAACGUUUGCGGCGGGCCUAACACAUGCAAGUCGAACGCACUAGCAAUAGUGAGUGGCGCACGGGUGCGUAACACGUGGGUAAUCAACCCUUCAGCCUGGGAUAACGACUCGAAAGGGUCGCUAAUACCGGAUACGGCGCGAGAGGCUUCGGCUUCUCACGAGAAAGCCACGCAAGGGGCACUGAAGGACGAGCCUGCGGCCCAUCAGCUAGUUGGUGAGGUAAGAGCUCACCAAGGCUAAGACGGGUAGCUGGUCUGAGAGGAUGAUCAGCCACACUGGAACUGAGACACGGUCCAGACUCCUACGGGAGGCAGCAGUGGGGAAUAUUGCGCAAUGGGCGAAAGCCUGACGCAGCCACGCCGCGUGAGCGAUGAAGGCCUUGGUCGUAAGACUCUGUGGGAGGAGACGAAGAAAGACCUGUGAAGAGCAGGCCUUGACGGUAGUCUCCUUAGCAAGCACCGGCUAACUCCGU
rnacentral:rRNA from 1 species